AGGAUCAAGAAGGUUUAAAGUAAAGUUUUGAAAUCAUCACGCUUAGGUGCAUUACUGGUAUUUGGAGUAAUCAAGAAAAUGUAGCCGAGAGAAUAAUAUGAGCCUUGUUAUGCCAAGAGUGGGAGUAAUGUUUGUACAUAAUGUGCAGUCAACACAGUCUGGUUCAGAUUUUCUAAGCCUCGCAAAAUAAACUUUGCUUUAUUCAGCACCGACCUAGUAUUCUCAAUGUACAUAAUGUGCAGUCAACACAGUCUAAUCUGGGUUGACACUUUCUGCACAUCCAUUAAGCCCAGUUUUCCCAAAACGAGGCUAAUGUUGCUUAAUAGAACACAAAGCUGUCUGUGAGCUGUUGGUACAAGGCGACUGAUGGUCAUUAUUGACAGUACUUAGUGGAGCGCUUUGUGCAAUCAUGGCUGUAUUGUUGUUAAAAUUUAAUGAACAACUAAAUUAUGAUCUGUUUUCCAUAAUUAUGGUUUACAUGUAUGUGAUCUGACUGUUGUUCAUAUCGUGGUUUCCAGUUGAAGAGAUUAUUACUUAUGAUAAUUUUUAGCUUGACUAUUCAUCAAAUUGUUCGAGCCAUUCUCUUCACCCAAAUGUCUGCAUUGCAUCAUGCUUAAGUGACUGUAAACAUGCAACAUCUUCAUAUCACUGUUUGACUUACCAGUGACUGUAAACAUGCAACAUCUUCAUAUCACUGUUUGAAGUACCAGUGACUGUAAACAUGCAACAUCUUCAUGUCACUGUUUGAAGUACCAGUAGACUGUAAACAUGCAACAUCUUCAUAUCACUGUUUGAAGUACCAGUGACUGUAAACAUGCAACAUCUUCAUAUCACUGUUUGAAGUACCAGUAGACUGUAAACAUGCAACAUCUUCAUAUCACUGUUUGAAGUACCAGUGACUGUAAACAUGCAACAUCUUCAUAUCACUGUUUGAAGUACCAGUAGACUUUGCAACAUCUUCAUAUCACAUCAUGCUUAAGUGACUGUAAACAUGCAACAUCUUCAUAUCACAUCAUGCUUAAGUGACUGUAAACAUGCAACAUUUUCAUAUCACAUCAUGCUUAAGUGACUGUAAACAUGCAACAUCUUCAUAUCACAUCAUGCUUAAGUGACUGUAAACAUGCAACAUCUUCAUAUCACAUCAUGCUUAAGUGACUGUAAACAUGCAACAUCUUCAUAUCACUGUUUGAAGUACCAGUAUUCAAUUGAAACUUCACACCUGUGUUUAGGGUACCUAAUUGUGUGAAGUCGGUUAACAAGUUUCAUAACUCUAACAUGCAAUAAAGCAGAAUUGCAUGCAACUACUCCAUACCUUUAUAUUUAACAAGAUAUUAAAAUAAAACAUAGCAUAAAUUAUGUGUUCAAGAUCUUUAAGAACAUUAACUGAUCAAGACAUUUAACUUUUACCAACCUUUAAGCAUCAUUAUGUUACGAACACUGUAUAAUGUGAAUUGGGUAUAAGACAUCAAUUUGGGAAUAAAUUGUGUUUUACCAAAACGGCAUAAUAUGCAGUUUUAUCCGUUGUAUUUAUCUAGUUUUACAAAUUAUAAUUAAAACAUAUACUUGCAUAUAUAAUAGCAUCAUUUAAAUUGAUUUUACUUCAAAACUGGAUUUUUUAUUAAUUAAAAAAAAAAAAAAUCCUCAUGAAAUGAAACUGUGUACACUUUAAAUGAUAAAAAUUCAAUCACUGUUAAUGAAAAAGUCAUGGAAAAUUUCUUAUUAAGCUUAAAUUAUAGAUAAUAUAUUACAAAAAUAUAUGUAGAUCAUGAAAUGAAUAGUUUUGUUUGAGAAAAUCACCAAAAUAAUGUCCAUUCCCAGUUUGAUGUCUUAUUCCCAAUUCACAUAAUACAGUGUUCACUUUAUUCCUUAGAAAUGUCAGGUUAAAGUUUGCAUGCAACAAGUGCUUAUCUCUGUAAGUACUGCCUUUAUAAGUUCAGGCAAGGUCAAAAGCACUGUUGCCAAAAUUAAAAAAAAAAAUUGCGCUCAAUAACUUCAGUUAGGU